rnacentral:snRNA from 1 species
GUGCUCGCUUCGGCAGCACAUAUACUAAAAUUGGAACAAUCCAGAGAAGAUUGGCAUGGCCCCUGUGCAAGAAUGACAUGCAAAGUCGUGAGGCAUCCCAUAUUUUA